rnacentral:rRNA from 1 species
AUUGAACGCUGGCGGCAUGCCUUACACGUGCAAGUCGAACGGUAGCGGGCCUUCGGGUGCCGACGAGUGGCGAACGGGUGAGUAAUGUAUCGGAACGUACCAUUGAGUGGGGGAUAACGUAGCGAAAGUUACGCUAAUACCGCAUAUUCUCUCCGGAGGAAAGCAGGGGACCGCAAGGCCUUGCGCUCUUUGAGCGGCCGAUAUCAGAUUAGCUAGUUGGUGAGGUAAAGGCUCACCAAGGCGACGAUCUGUAGCGGGUCUGAGAGGAUGAUCCGCCACACUGGAACUGAGACACGGUCCAGACUCCUACGGGAGGCAGCAGUGGGGAAUUUUGGACAAUGGGGGCAACCCUGACCCAGCAACGCCGCGUGAGUGAAGAAGGCCUUCGGGUUGUAAAGCUCUUUCGGCCGGGAAGAAAUCGUGGUCUCUAACAUAGGCCAUGGAUGACGGUACCGGACUAAGAAGCACCGGCUAACUACGUG